UAAGGAAUAUUGGUCAAUGGACGCAAGUCUGAACCAGCCAUGCCGCGUGAAGGAUGAAGGUCCUCUGGAUUGUAAACUUCUUUUAUCUGGGACGAAAACUGGAUUUUUAUCUCAAUUGACGGUACCAGAGGAAUAAGCACCGGCUAACUCCGUGCCAGCAGCCGCGGUAAUACGGAGGGUGCGAGCGUUAUCCGGAUUUACUGGGUUUAAAGGGUGCGUAGGUGGGCUUAUAAGUCAGUGGUGAAAUCUCCGAGCUUAACUUGGAAACUGCCGUUGAUACUAUAGGUCUUGAAUUAUCUGGAGGUAAGCGGAAUAUGUCAUGUAGCGGUGAAAUGCUUAGAUAUGACAUAGAACACCAAUUGCGAAGGCAGCUUACUACAUAUAAAUUGACGCUGAGGCACGAAAGCGUGGGGAUCAAACA
rnacentral:rRNA from 1 species